CUCAUUGUUCCUUCUUCCUAUGCAUAUACUUCUUUGAAAAUUGCGUCUAAAGAGGUAUAUGGCAUGGGAAAAUGGGGCAAUUGAGGU
rnacentral:pre_miRNA from 12 species